rnacentral:rRNA from 1 species
AUGGUCUGGGAUAACCGCGGGAAACUGCGGUUAAUACCGGAUAAGCCCGAGAGGGGAAAGAUUUAUCGCCGAUGGAGGGGCCCGCGUCAGAUUAGGUAGUUGGUGGGGUAAUGGCCUACCAAGCCUACGAUCUGUAGCUGGUCUGAGAGGAUGAUCAGCCACACUGGGACUGAGAUACGGCCCAGACUCCUACGGGAGGCAGCAGUGGGGAAUAUUGGACAAUGGGGGCAACCCUGAUCCAGCAAUGCCGCGUGAGUGAUGAAGGCCUUAGGGUUGUAAAGCUCUUUUGGCGGGGACGAUGAUGACGGUACCCGCAGAAUAAGCCCCGGCUAACUUCGUGCCAGCAGCCGCGGUAAUACGAAGGGGGCGAGCGUUGUUCGGAAUUACUGGGCGUAAAGGGCGCGUAGGCGGCGACCCAAGUCAGAUGUGAAAGUCCUGGGCUUAACCUGGGGACUGCAUUUGAUACUGGGUUGCUUGAAUUCGGGAGAGGAUAGCGGAAUUCCCAGUGUAGAGGUGAAAUUCGUAGAUAUUGGGAAGAACACCGGUGGCGAAAGCGGCUAUCUGGACCGACAUUGACGCUGAGGCGCGAAAGCGUGGGGAGCAAACAGAUUAGAUACCCUGGUAGUCCACGCCGUAAACGAUGAUGCUAGACGCUGGGGAGCAUGCUCUUCGUGUCGCAGCUACGCAUAAGCAUCCGCCUGGGGAGUACGGUCGCAGAUAAACUCA